CGCUUGCUCACAUCGAGGCUGGCUUCUCACUGGAAGCCUCGAGCUGCAUUCCUCUCCAUUCACAGGAAGGGAGCCGGCGUGUUGAGCGCACUAGUAGUCCGUGACGAGUGAAAAUGUCCUUAAGUUUUGGAAUUUAAUCAUGGCAUGGAUAUCUAACCCAAGGAUCACUUGAAUUUUGGCUGAACCCUGCGCUCCGUUGGAUCCCAGAGAUCCUGCCCCUGUUGUGUAAACCGCAACGAGAGUUUGUCACGAGCCAGACAGUGGCAAAACAAAGAUGGUGCUAGACAGUGAACAGCAGCUGGCCACACUUGUUCCGUGUGCAGGGAUUUGCACGGAGAAACACAAGAAGAAAAGACUACGAAUUUGGGUGAGGCCAUGGUUGGGGAGACGUGGCCAGUUUGGGUGGUCUGUACUGCAGAGAGAGUUGGAGAGGCAUGAUAGGAUGUGUUUCAGCAAGAUUCUGCAGAUGACCUCCGUCAAAUUAGAUUUCCUGCUGGGUAUGACGGGAUCCCUCAUCAGAAAGCAGGACACCCAAGAUGAGACAGGCAAUCACUGUGAAACGUUCAAAUCCCAAUACAGGAUUGGGAACACCACUGUGUCCAAUAUUGUUAUGGAGACAUGUGAAGCCCUGCAUCAGGUCAUGAAGGAAGAAUUCCUGAAGGUGUGGCUUUUCACCACAGAGGACUGUAGGUAUAAAGCUGUAUUUUGAAUCCCAAAACACAAACAUAUUUUUUCCAUUUCACUAAUACACUGUAUGUACCAAUUAUUCUCCUCUUGAUUAUUCUCAGACACCAGCAUCGGAGGCUGAAUGGCAGGCAAUUACCAAAUAUUUAGAAGAGAAAUGGCAGUUUCCGCAUUGCCUUGGUGCCCUUGAGUUUUUCAUACAACCCCCUAGCCAACAAUGGCAGUAUGUGUCACUACUACAUGUCUAGGUUCCCCAUCCUCAUGAUGGCUGCUGCGGAUGCAAACUAUGAGUUUAUGUUAUGCCAGUGUGGGCACCCGGAGCACAAUCUCCAAUGCUGGGCUGUUUUCUCACUCUGACUGCAGAAAAGCAAUGGACUGGGGCCUUCUAAAUGUUCUGCCACCUGAGCCACUAACUCAAAUGUUGUGGUUCUGUACAUGUUUGUGGGGGAUGAGGCGUACCCCCUGUGGACUGACCUGAUAAAGCCCUAUCCAUAUCGACAGAUGGACCACGACCAGAGAAGCCGCAACUAUCGCCUCAAGGGCAUGGCGAGUAGUUGAAAAUGCCUUUGGCAUCCUCGCUAACAGGCUGAGGUUGUUUAGGUCCACCAUUUGCCGUGAACCAGACAAGGUUACGAAGAUCACCAUGGCCUUCCUCUGCGUACACAACUUCCUCAUAGAGCGUAGGUCUGAGGCGUACACGCCACCAGCGUUUGCAGACUGGGAAGAUGCUGACCACUGGAUCAUCGAGGGAGCCUGGAGGAGACAUGGACUGUGGAGCCUGGAAGGGGAUGUUAACCCCACAAUCAGUGCAAAAGAGCAACGCAACCUGCUAAGGGAUUAUUUUGUAUCACCUGCAAGUCAGGUUCCAUGGCUGGAGGAUCACAUUUAAGUAAGUCAUGGACGCAAGGGCUGUUCAUAUUCUGUUGGAAGGUAGCCAUGCUUUACUGUGUGUAGCCUAAUGUCUAAGAAUGUAUGUAGUUACCACUAUUGAGUCUUGACUGACAAAUGUGAUGACAGCUGUACUUUCUUUUUCAAUACAGUAAUUGAAAUAAAGUUAUAUAAAAGGCA
ensembl:lncRNA